CCUACGGGAGGCAGCAGUGAGUAAUAUUGGUCAAUGGGCGGAAGCCUGAACCAGCCAAGUAGCGUGCAGGAUGACGGCCCUACGGGAUGUAAACUGCUUUUAUACGGGAAUAACGCGCCUUACGUGUAGGGCUUUGCAUGUACCGUAUGAAUAAGGACCGGCUAAUUCCGUGCCAGCAGCCGCGGUAAUACGGAAGGUCCGGGCGUUAUCCGGAUUUAUUGGGUUUAAAGGGAGCGGAGGCCGCCUGUCAAGCGUGCUGUGAAAUGCCCGGGCUCAACCCGGGCCUUGCAGCGCGAACUGGGGUGCUUGAGUCCGCGGAAAGCAGGCGGAAUUCGUGGUGUAGCGGUGAAAUGCUUAGAUAUGACGAAGAACCCCGAUUGCGAAGGCAGCUUGCUGCAGCGGAACUGACGCUGAUGCUCGAAGGCGCGGGUAUCGAACAGGAUUAGAUACCCUUGUAGUC
rnacentral:rRNA from 1 species